rnacentral:lncRNA from 1 species
CCCAUAAAAAGCUGAGUUGUUUAUUAUAAGAAGGACCUUUGGAAUCAUCUGGGCUCCCUGCCUUAUGAGGGCGUAGGUUCCAUAUCAUUAGCUGGUUCUGAGGGAAGGGUCCCACCCCGCUUGUUGGCCAUUCUCUUCAAUGUGGGGCAUGCGUAUUACUAGUAAGUACUGAGCAGAUAGUGGGGAAAAGUAUAGUCCUAUCAUCCUGUGGUGUGAUAGCUGGAGAGCUGCUGGCGAUCAUGUGGCUUCUGCAGAUUAGGGGAGAACUGCGCCAAGAAGAUUACACUGAGUAUUACUCUGAAGAAUCUGCAGCUGGGAUGAAAGCAUGGCCACCCAAGUUCAAGUUUCUCGUCCUCUGGGGACCAAAGGCAGGAUGACAAAAGGCGAAAAAGGAAAGCUGUUAGGAAAAAUAAACAGUUUAUCAGGCAAUGCGACAAAGACGCUGGAGAGGAAAGACAAGCUGUCACUUCAAGGAUAGGAAGAAAAAUCCCGUCAUUUGUAGAGGCGUCACAUGCUGUGUGAGUGCCUUGUAAGGAAAGGAAAAAAUCAUGAAAUGAGGAAGCAAAGAAAAAUGGCAGAGACAAAAGAUAAAAUGGAAAACAACUGAAAUCAUUUUCAAGCAAAAAUGCAUGAGUACAGCCUGGGGAGGGGGAUUAGGAGGAGGACUGUACAACUGGAAAAAAGGAAAACUACUUAAAUAUAAUUGAGAAUCAUUCCAAGUAUUCAGAUGUACUGUUUACUUCAGAUGCCAAAUUUCCUGCAUAAUUGGUUUCAGCUGCCCAGCCGGCAUCGGUUUUUGUUUUGUAGCUUUCAAUAUUUUGAGGUCUUUCAGCACAGAAACUUCUGCACCUAACAAGUGCCUAAUUUCUGGACCAAAAUUGCUUCACUGUUUCCCAGAUCUUCAGGUUAGGAAAACAAAACAGCUGAAUUAGGAAAUAAGUUUUAGUUAAAAGGGUUGGGGGCAGGAAUAGCUACAUUAAAACAGUAUUCAUUGUGAAAAUGGUAGAAUUUUUGAAGUGUCAUUUGUGCUAAACUCUCACUGGGAUUAGGGAAGAGGCUCCCAAUUUAACCACUUUCUCCUCUGUGCCACUAAAGUGACUUUUCUCAAGAACUCUCCGUUUCUCUUUUUGUAUCAAAUCAAUAGCUUGGUGAACCUCUUUUUAGAAUGUUUUUAAUGCAACAUCAUUUCACCUCGUUUUACUCUUUCCUGUGGAGAGCUUGAAUCAGCAGAAAACGUUAAAUAAUCUGAAAACAAUCCAAGAAAGACAAGGAGGAGCAAGUGUCAGAUUGGUUAUUAGCAUCCCCGCCCAGUCUAUGCAGUCAAGUAAACUAAUGCAGAGGCAGAAGGACCGUACUUGUGGUUCUGAAACCUUCAGCGUGUGUCAGACUCACCGGGAGCGCCGGAAAACAGACUGCUGGGCUCAUUCCCAGCAUUCCUGACUCAGGACCUGUGAGGCA